GCGCAUAUGGCCGAGCGGUUUAAGGCGAUGGUUUUAAGAUUUCUUCUAAACACCAUUAUCGAGAGAUGCCUGGGUUCGAACCCCAGUGUGCGCA
rnacentral:tRNA from 2 species